rnacentral:sRNA from 1 species
GGGGGUGAUUGGCUUCGACUUCGGUCGUCAAGGUGGGAGAAGCGAGCCGUGGUCUCCGGAGCCACGCUAAAGAGCCGGAACCAAAAACAAACGCCGAGCCUCAGCUCGCGCUCGCUGCCUGAUUAGGUAGCGAUGUCUGCCCGGUCCCAGCCCCGCGGAUCGGAUCGCAGGCAUCAUCUUGUGGGGCUUACUCCUGUGGCUUGUCAGCGUCUGCUGGAGGAAAUCUCAGCUGACUGGGGUCCCGUGCCGGUGCCGGUGGCGAGGCGGGACCCGAGAUCUCACCGCCGGCUGCGCUCGGAGAAGGCCUACUGCGAAGCUGAAGGACGCGGGUUCGAUUCCCGCCACCUCCACGA